UACAGAGGGUGCAAGCGUUGUUCGGAAUCACUGGGCGUAAAGGGCGCGUAGGCGGAUCUUUAAGUCGGGGGUGAAAGCCCAGGGCUCAACCCUGGAAUGGCCUUCGAUACUGGAGAUCUUGAGACCGGAAGAGGUAAGUGGAACUGCGAGUGUAGAGGUGAAAUUCGUAGAUAUUCGCAAGAACACCAGUGGCGAAGGCGGCUUACUGGUCCGGUUCUGACGCUGAGGCGCGAAAGCGUGGGGAGCAAACAGG
rnacentral:rRNA from 1 species